ACCUCCGAAUGUGAAAAAGCAAUGUAGAAAAAGACAAACGGAACUGUUUUCCGUCAAGGAUGCAAAAUGGAAAGAUGCGCGCUGAUUAGUGCAGGUGUCAUGAGAGAAUUGGAAUAUAACGGAGUUUCAACUUUUC
ensembl:ncRNA ZK377.8 ncRNA